UACGUAGGGGGCAAGCGUUAUCCGGAAUUAUUGGGCGUAAAGAGUACGUAGGUGGCAACCUAAGCGCAGGGUUUAAGGCAAUGGCUCAACCAUUGUUCGCCCUGCGAACUGGGAUGCUUGAGUGCAGAAGAGGGAAGUGGAAUUCCAUGUGUAGCGGUGAAAUGCGUAGAGAUAUGGAGGAACACCAGUGGCGAAGGCGGCUUCCUGGUCUGCAACUGACACUGAGGCGCGAAAGCGUGGGGAGCAAACAGG
rnacentral:rRNA from 1 species